ACGCUCGACACCUACGGGAGGCAGCAGGUGGGGAAUAUUGCACAAUGGGGGAAACCCUGAUGCAGCGACGCCGCGUGAGUGAAGAAGUAUUUCGGUAUGUAAAGCUCUAUCAGCAGGGAAGAAAAUGACGGUACCUGACUAAGAAGCCCCGGCUAACUACGUGCCAGCAGCCGAGGUAAUCUGAGCGGCUGGCAAGGC
rnacentral:rRNA from 1 species